rnacentral:rRNA from 1 species
CAGUCGCCGCGGUAAUACGAAGGGGGCUAGCGUUGUUCGGAAUUACUGGGCGUAAAGCGCACGUAGGCGGAUACUUAAGUCAGGGGUGAAAUCCCAGAGCUCAACUCUGGAACUGCCUUUGAUACUGGGUAUCUUGAGUAUGGAAGAGGUGAGUGGAAUUCCGAGUGUAGAGGUGAAAUUCGUAGAUAUUCGGAGGAACACCAGUGGCGAAGGCGGCUCACUGGUCCAUUACUGACGCUGAGGUGCGAAAGCGUGGGGAGCAAACAGGAUUAGAUACCCCCGUAGUCCCUGUCUCUUAUAC